rnacentral:misc_RNA from 1 species
GCUGCGACUACUUUUGUAUCAAGUCACUGGAUUAAGUCUUGUCUGGAGGAUGGAUGCUUGCUGGAUGUUGGUGAUCACAUCCUUUAUUCUCCACUUCCAUGCCGAGUUCCUUUCCCUGCAUUUAAGAGUUUUCGCUUAUGUGUUUCACAGUAUGAUGAGAAAGAAAGACAGUUGCUAAGAAAUUUGUGUUUUACUAUUGGAGCCAAAUUUGUUGAGAAAUUAACUAAAAAGGUCACACAUUUGUUGUGUAAAUUUACCGAUGGCCCGAAAUAUGAGGCUGCAUGUAAGUGGGGAAUACAACCAGUCACGUGUGAGUGGAUUUAUGAGUGUAUCAAGCAGAACAAAAUUGUUUCUGCAGAUCCAUUUUAUCCUAAAGAAGUCACCUCUGAAGAUCGAGAAGCUGGGGCAUGCACGGUGAGCCAGUUCCCCACACAAGCUUUUGGGAUGAUAUCUGGUGAUACCACAUCCCAG